rnacentral:rRNA from 1 species
GGAGUGCCGAAAGGAACCGUGAGACAGGUGCUGCAUGGCUGUCGUCAGCUCGUGUUGUGAGAUGUUGGGUUAAGUCCCGUAACGAGCGCAACCCUUGUCCUUAGUUGCCAACACGUAAUGGUGGGGACUCUAAGGAGACUGCCGGUGAAGAACCGGAGGAAGGCGGGGACGACGUCAAGUCAUCAUGGCCUUUAUGACCAGGGCUACACACGUGCUACAAUGGCAGGUACAGAGGGAAGCCAACUCGCGAGAGGGAGCUAAUCCCAGAAAGCCUGUCUUAGUCCGGAUUGGAGUCUGCAACUCGACUCCAUGAAGUUGGAAUCGCUAGUAAUCGCAGAUCAGCAUUGCUGCGGUGAAUACGUUCCCGGGUCUUGUACACACCGCCCGUCACACCAUGGGAGUUGAUUGCACCAGAAGCAGGUAGCCUGACCGAAG